GCGGGGUACCUGUGGCUUCGGCGCUGGAGGGCCGGUGUGGGCGGGCUGCUCCUGCUGCGGCCACUGCGGCGGCAUUUCCCGCGUGGGAGGCUCCUGCACGUUAUUGCCGCGCUCUCCAAUCCUUCUGUUCCGGCGAGGAUCGACUUGAGGCUGGUGGAGUCGAGAAGAAUUUUCCUUCCUGGUGGCUGGUGUUAGGAUUUGUCAAAAUCAAGGACUUCCUUGUGGCCUGUUUUCUUUUUGACUUAGAAAAAAAUACGUGCAUGUAUCUCUUAUUUAAAAUUUUUGAAUUUAGAAGAUUCAAGAUUGGUGAUUCAGAAGAUUCAAGUCAGUGCAAAAGAUUAAACUCAACAGAAGAAUGCAAUCAAGUGAUGGCUUUUUCUUUAGAAUUUGAAUAUGGAGGCCACAGGAACAGAUGAAGUUGAUAAGCUAAAAACUAAAUUUGUAUCUGCUUGGAACAACAUGAAAUAUAGUUGGGUGUUGAAAACAAAGACCUAUUUUAGUAGAAAUUCCCCUGUAUUAUUACUUGGAAAAUGUUACCAUUUUAAAUAUGAAGAUGAAAAUAAAGCAUUAUCUGCAAGAUCAGGAUGCACAAUAGAAGAUCAUGUAAUUGCAGGAAAUGUAGAAGAAUUUCGUAGAGAUUUCAUUUCUAGAAUAUGGCUGACUUACAGGGAAGAAUUUCCUCCAAUAGAAGGCUCGGCUUUGACAACAGACUGUGGUUGGGGCUGUACAUUGAGAACUGGACAGAUGCUAUUGGCUCAGGGGCUCAUACUACAUUUUCUUGGUAGAGCUUGGACCUGGCCUGAUGCUUUGAAUAUUGAAAAUUCAGACUCUGAAUCAUGGACCUCCCACACUGUAAAAAAAUUUACUGCAUCAGUUGAAGCAUCACUUUCAGGGGAAAGAGAACUCAAAACCCCAACAAUUUCUCUGAAGGAAACAAUUGAGAAGUAUUCUGAUGAUCACGAAAUACGAAAUGAAAUUUAUCACAGGAAAAUCAUCUCUUGGUUUGGUGAUUCUCCCUUGGCUCUCUUUGGUUUACAUCAGCUAAUAGAGUAUGGAAAGAAAUCUGGGAAAAAAGCCGGAGAUUGGUAUGGACCAGCUGUGGUUGCUCAUAUUUUGAGAAAAGCAGUUGAAGAAGCAAGACACCCUGAUUUACAAGGAAUAACUAUUUAUGUUGCACAAGAUUGUACAGUGUACAGUUCUGACGUAAUUGAUAAACAAAGAACUGCGAUGACAGCCGAUAAUGCAGAUGAUAAAGCUGUUAUUAUUCUAGUUCCUGUUAGACUUGGUGGAGAAAGAACCAACACGGACUACUUAGAGUUUGUAAAGGGUAUUUUAAGCCUUGAAUAUUGUGUUGGUAUUAUUGGUGGCAAGCCCAAACAGUCAUAUUACUUUGCUGGAUUUCAAGAUGACAGUUUGAUUUACAUGGAUCCUCAUUACUGCCAAUCUUUUGUAGAUGUCAGCAUAAAGGAUUUCCCUCUUGAGACAUUCCACUGCCCUUCUCCUAAAAAGAUGUCAUUUCGAAAAAUGGAUCCUAGCUGUACAAUAGGAUUUUAUUGUCGAAAUAUUCAGGACUUCAAACGAGCUUCUGAAGAAAUCACUAAGAUGCUGACAAUUUCUUCUAAGGAGAAAUAUCCCUUAUUUACUUUUGUAAAUGGUCAUUCCAGAGACUAUGAUUUUACAUCUACUACAACCAAUGAAGAAGACCUUUUCUCAGAGGAUGAAAAGAAAAGAUUGAAAAGAUUUAGCACAGAAGAGUUUGUCUUGCUGUAAGGAUUAGCACAUUUGCGCUUGAUAAGAACAAUUCCUUUGAAAGAAGAAAAUGAAGAGAAACAAGUAUACUUGAAACUGUUUUAUUUCAUAAAUACAUUAGUUUUAUAUGUUCUUUUAAGAAAAAGAACAUUUGAAAAUACACAAGUUUAUCUGUAAAGUAUCGUUAUUUUUCUGAAAGAGAAACAAUUUAAUGUCUUACUUUCUAAUAAACGUUGAGUAAUUUUGGUUGCAUUCCUAUUUCUCUAAAAUCUGCCAGUGAUAACUCUACCCCUUAACUAUAAGCCUUCCAGUCUUUAAAGUCUUUCACCUGAACCCUUCGGUCUCCUGAACAACGUGCUACAGCCCCCCAGAGAUUGGGAUCAUCAAAAGCUUCAGUUUGUACUAAUGAUCAGAGAAUGAAUCUUCAGUGCUGCCUAGCUUCCUGCUGGUAAUGCAACCAAACAUACUUUUGGAUGUAUCUCGAUAAUUCAAUAGUAUUAGCUGUGCUGUGCAUACAGUUAUAAAAGCAGAAUCGUGAAUUAAAGUAAUACUUAACAAUAUGAUUUUAUAAUGGCUCCUCAUUUUUCUUGCUGUUGGCUUUCUGUGAGGAGUGAAUAUAAAGAAUUGAUUUUUCCCCACAAAUUUAUAGGUUAUGUUAUUAAUAGUAACUGUACCCAAUCAAAUCAGAUAAAGGCAAUUAUAAAAUAGUAAUUGUGUUUGUUUGUAUUUCAAAAGUGAGAUUUUGUAGGAACUCAACUUAUUAGUUUUAAAUCUAAAGAUAAGUACCAAGAAAGACGUCAGUAGGUACUUCUCUGUGUGAUUUUUAGCUUUUUGUAUAAAGAGGUACAUUUGUGUCUAGAAGCAGGGGCCGUCUGUAAGGUAAUUCUGCCUUAAGUGUAUUGUGUUACUUUUAAGUCAAGAUUGUUAUAUAAAAGUCCAAGAGUUUUUGUUGAGCCAGGAUUAUAAAGUAAAUGUUUUAAUAAAGAUGUGGGAACAUAAAUUGCCUUUGUUUUGGUUU